UUAUUAUAUAUAAAGAAUUAAGUUACUAACAAUAAUAUCUUCAGUAAUAACUUUGUAGAAAAACUCAGGUUAUCCAAAAAAUUUAUUUAUAUAUAGAGACUCACCCAAAAGGCCAUGAUUGAAUGUUCUAUUGUUAGUAACUCAAUUCUUUAUAUAUUGAUAAAAUUUUAUCACUUGUUUCGAUGUAGGACUAGGAUAGUACAAACUCUCCUUAUUAAAUUUUUGACGUUCUCGUCUGAAUCGAUUACACACACAACCCAUAUAUCUUUGUCUCUAUAGCCAUUAUGAAAUAAUACUGUCUGUCUUCGUGUCCCCACCUUCGAACCUCUCUCCAUUGUGAAAUAAUACCAUCAACCUUCGUGUCCCCACCUUCAAUAACUCGAUUCGAGAGUCGACUCUGAAACCAAACGUAACAAUUCGGGUCAAAUCACGAGUUCGAAAUAAAUCUGGGUCAAAUCACAAGUUCGAAUCGAAUCAUAUCCAUCCAAACAAUAUAUAAAAACACUAGCCCAAUAGUAUCGUCUUAGAUCAUUUUAGCCCAUCACAUAGAUCAUUUUAGCCCAUCACAUACUCACCUAAAAGGUCAUAACUGAAUGUACUAUUGUUAAUAACUUAAUUAUUUAUAUACAAAUAAAUUUUUCUCACAUGUUUUAAUGUGACAUUGGGAUAUUACAACUUUAGCCUUUUAUUCAUAAUUGUUACAAUUAUUAUCUGUCUACAGGUGUAAUUUUUUCAUUACCUAAUGUUGACAAUAUACGAAAAAGUAAAGUAAAAUAAUAAUUACUUUUAUGUGAAAUUAUAAUUCUUUACUCCUCAUUUCAAAACAUAAGUCAUUUUAAAUUUAUAAAGUUAGUUAAUUUAAAAAAUUUAUAACGAUAAAAAUUGAUAUAAAUUUAUUUAGUUUGAAUUAAUAUAAUUAUAAAUAUUAUAAAUUAUUUAAACAGUAAUACUACUAAGUUUAGUACAACAAUUAUUAAUUUCAAUAAUAAAAUAUAUCACGUUAGUUUUAAAUUUUAAAAACGUCUCAAAAUGACUUUAAAUAAUCAAAAUUGUUCUUAUAUUUUGAACAAGUAGCUUGUAUCAUUUACUACGUUACAAUUUAUUUAUUUAUUAUCUAAUUUUUAUAUUAUCAAUUAAUUAAAUAAUAAUUAAUAUGUAACAACACAAUUUUAAGUAUGAUAGUUUUCUUAUGUAGAUGAUGUUUAACAAGUUCCAAUCGCCAAUUCAUUCAAGCAUUUAUCUAAAUUUUAGUAUGAUUUAUGGUGCUUUGCAUAUGCAAAAUGCCUAACACCUGACUUUGCCUGGGCAGAUUAAUAAACUGGAGUUUAGGUGAGGGUAGUUUGAAGGCUAGAAUUAUUUUAUUAAUUAAGAAUUAUAGUUUAUAGAUUACUUAAACACAAAUGACAAUCUAUUUACAUAUUUAACAUCAAACAUUGUUGUAAACUUAACUAAAAUAGAAAAAUUGUUCUUUAGAUAAAAAAACACCUAAAACGCGAGUCUGACAUAUAAUCUAUCUAGAAAACUGAUAUUUUCACAAGAUUUUUUUGAUAUUUAUACAUGAAAAGCGUCGUUAUAGAUGUAUAGCGACGGUUUUUACCGUCGCUAUACAUCUAUAGCGACACUUUUCAUAUAAAAAUAUCAAAAAAAUAUGUGAAAAUAUCAAUUUCCUCUAUCUAUUGGUUAGAUUCUCAUAAUCUUUAUGAAAAAUAAACCUUAAUCUUCUUGAUAUUUAGUAUAACAAAUAUGUAUUUAACGAUAUUUUUAUAAUUAUUCUAGCGACAUUCGUUAUCAUAACAUAAUAAGUCCCAAUGCGCUUUCUCAAUAACAUAUUCUUGGGUCAUCUUACCUCACCAUAUACUCAUCCAAAAGAUUCUAACAAAUUAAAGAUAUUAAUGAUAACAACUUUGAGUGCUUAUAUACAUAUUCAAAUAUCUCAUAUGUUAAGAGAGAUGAGACUGAAAUGUUAUAUUUAUUGCUCGAUUUAAAAAUACUUAUUAUUUUUGUUUAUAUAAUAUCAACACUCUAAUAUUUUUAUUUCAUUAAAAUGGCAAUACUACUAUAAUGUACUUCAUCCGUCCCAUAAUACAUGACGUUUUAGAGUUGUACAUAAAAAUUAAGAAAAUAAUUAUAUAGCAUUAAAUAUAGUAUUAAUCGUCUAUAAUACCAUUUACUAUAUAUUUAUCUCACACUCUCUCUCAUCUGUAACAUUUUUCAAUAAGGAAUAAUUUUUAAAAAAUUAUAAUUAAUUUUUUUAAAUUAUAUAAAACGUCAAAUAAUUUAAAAAAAAAUCAUCAAAAACAUCAUAUAUUAUUUUAUGGCACAGAUGAAGUAUUAUUAUUACACUAAGGGGGGUGUAUUCAAUUAAGAUUUUUAAAGACUUUUUUUAAGUAACAUACUUUUGUAAAAUUUGUGAAAUUUUAAUGACUUUCAAAGAUUUUAAAGACUUUUUUAAAAUGACUUUUAUAGACUCUAUGAAAUAAGUACCAUACUUUUAUAAAUUUUUUAUCAAGACUGUGAUAGACUUUUGUAUACUUCUAAUAUAUCUUGCAACUUAUAUUAAUUGUUAAUUAGCCCAAGUGUACAACAUCUCCCUCUUUUUUCAUGAACUAGCGUAAAUCUCAUUAUAUUAUUGUGGCAUGAGAUUUUAUAUAUGUUGAAAGCGUUCAUAUUAUUCUACUCAUUUAAUAAUACAUUUGGAUACUCGGAUACUAAUAAAACUUUAAAAAUUACAGACGCAAUACAAAAAUUAAACUCACUUUUCAUUGAGCUAUAUAUACUUUAUGCAUAUGCGUACGCUUAUUUGGAAUUAUUGUUUUUCAUUCCAGUCUACAAAAGUUGUCAUCAAUACUUAUUUACGUAACUAGCAAUUAAAAAAUUAAGGCUUAAAUAUGAAUUACUACCUUAAACUAUAUGUCAUAUUCCACUUCGAUGAUUCACCUUUCAAUUUUGUCAAUUAGAUAAUUAAACUAUCAAUUUUUUUUAAUUGCAACAAAUUGAAUAUGCCACGUCAGCAAUUGCUGACGUGGCUAAUUGUGUAGGGUCUUAAGAAGUUGGUGUGGCAAAAAAAAUAAUUUUUUAAUCAUAAAAUAAACAAAUUUAAUUUAAUAUGGGGCAAAAUGGUCAAAACACAAAUUAACAUAAAAACAUAUCCUUAUAUCAGAUCAUAUACAAAAGCCCCAAAUCCAACUACUGUCGAAUGGUUUCGAGAAUCACUGUUUUCCUCUCCGGCGGAAUUAUCGGCACUAAAAUGGGGAACAUUCCUUUUGGAAGGCACUAAAAAGUGCAAAAUGAAACUCACAUGUUGGGACAGAAGGAAUACAAAUGUAUGCCCACCCGAACAUUCACAAAUUUGGCAGAUAUCAGAAAAUAAAAACAUAAACAGGCAAUCUGAAAGAAAAAAAAAACAUAUAUUGUUCUAAUGCACAAAUAUUAGAAUUAUAACAAAAAAUAAGUGCAUAUAUAUUAGAUACAAUUCAUUAAUUAACAUAAAUAGUAGAAUUAAGGGUAAUAGAUGUACCACUGUCUGAAGAAGACUAGGACGACGAUGACGAAUUGUUGUCAGUCAUGAAGGAGAAGAGUUUUAUUGCACCGCCAUAGAUCAUUCGGGAAGCACCAGGGAAAAUGAGUCCUGUAAACCAAUUAUUACUGCUGGUGUUUUCGAGAGGAGGGCGGUCGUAUGGUAUUUUGGCGGCGAGUUUUCGCCUGUGUCUUAAAAUCUUUCCGCCGGAUCUGCCACUGGCGGUGGUUUGAACCCUAGAAUUUGGACUCGCCUCUGUCUUAAAAUCUUCCCGCCGGAUCUGUCACCGGCGGUGGUUUGAACCCUAGAAUUUGUGUUUACAGCGACUUCAGGGGAGAGAAACCUAGAAUUUGUGUCCAUACAUUUGUUAAUUUGUGUUUUAGCCAUGUCGACAAUUGCUG
rnacentral:lncRNA from 1 species